CAACUAGUCAAAGAUGGAGGCUGGAGCUGGAAGGCCAUGAGGUUUGUACUGGAGGAUUUUCCCAGAUUUUUAUUGAUUAGAAACUGAAGCUGAAAUACAGCCGGCUCUGCCCAGGACCAUGGAGCCAAGCCCCCAGGAGAUGGGGGGAGAGAGCUGGACAGUUCUUGCUGCCUCUUUUGCUCUUCUUUUGACAACUUUUUUUCUUCUUGGUGAGAGGAUCUGUCCCUCCCUUGGCCAGGAAUAUCCGUCACUGUUGUCAACUGUCCCUUACGGAGAAUGGCGUUGGUGGGUCUCAAUGAAGGCUGCCAUUUUUACUGUUACUUCCCAGCAGGAAGGUGAGUCCGCUGCCUUUCAGGGCCAUAUCCUGCCAUUGAUCCACAUGCAGAACUCCCGUGGAUUUAACCCAGCGUGGAACCAAGGCAGGAUAUGGGCUGACAAUUUGUGACAAAAGAAGUGCUAAUGAAGCAGAUGAGUGCAUGAGAAGGGCUGGAGCCCAUCCCAGCUGCAUGUUACAUUUGAUUAUUUACUAGAAAACAAGAUGGAGGAAAUAUAUAAGCAUUGUUCAUAUUAACAAAACCAUCCUCUUCCCUUUGCAUCUUCCCCCCUCCCCCCCUCACCUAUGCCCCUUUCACUUGGAAACCCAACCCUCAGUCUCCUCCAUUCUGUCUUCAGUCACAUCCCUCCUUAAAACACACCACACUUCCCUUCCACUAAUCCUUCCACCCGGAGUCCCCCAAAGGGAGCAGGAUGUGUUAGCAAAACUGCACUGCUCUGAGAUUUGAGUCCCCUCCCCCCACAAUCCGCCCACCCCAGGUCAUCAGAAGCCCGAUUCAGAAAGUGCUCUAAGUGCACAGCUCCUGGUCCUCCCUUGUGUGGAAAGCUUCCAUAUUCAGGGCUUGUCUCUAUCUGCCAGAUCCUUGUAUCGUGCUCAUCUCUGUAGUAUCUGCGUGGGUGACCAGCUGGAGGUAAAAAUCUCAAAGCAGCACACCUUUAAAUAAAGGCUCCUUUCUAUGAUGGGCUGCCA
rnacentral:lncRNA from 1 species